rnacentral:rRNA from 1 species
AUGCACGCUGGCGGCGUGCCUCAUCCCUGCAAGUCGCGCGAACGGACGAGAAGCUUGCUUCUCUGAUGUUAGCGGCGGACGGGUGAGUAACACGUGGAUAACCUACCUAUAAGACUGGGAUAACUUCGGGAAACCGGAGCUAAUACCGGAUGAUAUUUUGAACCGCAUGGUUCAAAAGUGAAAGACGGUCUUGCUGUCACUUAUAGAUGGAUCCGCGCUGCAUUAGCUAGUUGGUAGGGUAACGGCUUACCAAGGCAACGAUGCAUAGCCGACCUGAGAGGGUGAUCGGCCACACUGGAACUGAGACACGGUCCAGACUCCUACGGGAGGCAGCAGUAGGGAAUCUUCCGCAAUGGGCGAAAGCCUGACGGAGCAACGCCGCGUGAGUGAUGAAGGUCUUCGGAUCGUAAAACUCUGUUAUUAGGGAAGAACAUAUGUGUAAGUAACUGUGCACAUCUUGACGGUACCUAAUCAGAAAGCCACGGCUAACUACGUG